rnacentral:lncRNA from 1 species
AGAAAGUAAGGGAGUGGAGAGAAAAAUAAUUUGUCCCCUGAUUCUAAAGCCACGCGUCCGGGACAUUUUUUGUGGUCGUGAUGGGCUAAAGUCUGAGUGUAACUAGGACAAAGGUAUUUUCCAAGGGAUCUUCAUCUCAAAAGCAAAUCUGCAUUUACUUAACAAGCAGCAAGGAGAACAGCUCCCCUGGGAGCCAACGGUGCUACAAAAUCUGCCUUCAGCUGUUACUUCUCCAGGUUAAAUGACCCUACCGAGCAAAACUCACCGUCAGAUACCGGGUCUUCACAGCGUGUAAUUUCACCCCCCCAGAUUAUAAAAAUCAUGGCCUUCUUUUGACAAUGGCCAGCCAAAUGGAAUGAUCUGUGAUACCACGAACUCAUAGGCUAGUGCAGGAACAUCAUGAAUGCAACCAAGCGCCUGAAGAUUUCCUGGGCUUCCAAUGCCCAUCCACCGGGAGGCCUGCUUUUAGUUACUCUAGAACUUUCCAGUAUUAAAACUCUGGAGCCUUACCAGGAGAAGGCAACUUGGAAUUUACCUCCUCAAAGUCCCUUGGGCUUACAAAACCAGGCCGGCAGCGAUCUCCUGCAUGGGCGGAGUGCCAGGAUUUUGGCCAUCCUUCCUGAGCCCUUUUGGUACCUGCCAGGGUGAGGUCCAGGCCUGGGAGGCGGCAGCAGGUCUAAAACCUGGUGAGGAUGAAGGGUUACACCACUCACAGGCCGAGGGGGUGUCCCUCUCCCCAGACGGGUUCAGGAAUGAAUUA